rnacentral:rRNA from 1 species
UACGAAGGGGGCUAGCGUUGCUCGGAAUUACUGGGCGUAAAGGGAGCGUAGGCGGAUAGUUUAGUCAGAGGUGAAAGCCCAGGGCUCAACCUUGGAAUUGCCUUUGAUACUGGCUAUCUUGAGUACGGAAGAGGUAUGUGGAACUCCGAGUGUAGAGGCGAAAUUCGUAGAUAUUCGGAAGAACACCAGUGGCGAAGGCGACAUACUGGUCCGUUACUGACGCUGAGGCUCGAAAGCGUGGGGAGCAAACAGG